rnacentral:rRNA from 1 species
GACGAACCGUGCGAACGUUGUUCGGAAUUACUGGGCGUAAAGGGCGCGUAGGCGGGUGGACAAGUCUCUCGUGAAAGCCCACGGCUCAACCGUGGAAUUGCGGGAGAUACUGUCUGUCUUGAGUCCGGGAGAGGAGGGUGGAAUUCCCAGUGUAGCGGUGAAAUGCGUAGAUAUUGGGAGGAACACCGGUGGCGAAGGCGGCUCUCUGGACCGGUACUGACGCUGAGGCGCGAAAGCUAGGGGAGCAAACGGG